rnacentral:lncRNA from 1 species
CUAAGUGUGCCACAAAGCCUCUAACUCGUCAUGCACUGGCACGGCGGUUGUUGAUCUUGUAACCGCCUUUUUUUUACACACAAUAAUACUUUGUUGAUCAAUAUAAACAUUUCUUGAUCAACAUUUACUGCGGAAUCUAGUAUUUUGAAAACGGCGCGGCGCAACGGCAACGUCGCAAAAAUGAAACGGAAGUAUAUUAAAGUGCGAUGGGGCUACGUACGCAAGUUUACUGCGUUUUCUGACUCGGUCUGUCAUUAGUCUAUUUUCGUGCAGUGGACAUGUUUUGCAGUUGGAUUUGGGUUGGUUAGAAAAAUGGAAGACACAACAAGUAGGUGCCUGUUCAAACACCAGGAUUAUGUCACCAAUAUUAUACCCUGAUUCACUAUCUGAAACAUCUUCGAUAGUGCCAAUUGCGAAGGAAAUUAAAAUAAGUACCUAAUACAGAUAUACUACGUGAUUACGCAAUGAUUCGGGAUUCUGAAUCUGAAACUGAUGUCGAUAUGCAGGGGACAGAGGAUUAUCCGGAAUUAUUAAACAAAGAGAAGAAACCAAGAAAAAAGCGAAGAAGGGCAUGUCGCACCUUAACUUCAACCCAAAAACUCGAUUCCGAAACUGAUACACAGGAUUUUUCUCCCAGUGAUGGCUCAGAUUUUGACCCGGAUUCAGCCAGUCGAUUUAGUGAUGACUCAAUGCAUUUUAUUAUUACUUAGCAAUAUGCAUUUGUAAGAAAACAACUCCUCGAACUGCUGCAUGACACUUGCAGUCGAGGGUACCUUGCAAAUGCAUACUGUUGAGUGACACCGUCUGCCGUUCCCGCCUGCCGCUGCCAUCGCUGUCGUAUGUGUUUAAACGUGUUAUGCUUAAGUCCAUGUAAUUACCACUAUCCACCGCCCUACUCGGCUGUCAAUGUUGGUAUAAUAAGACCUCAGAUUACGACAAAGUUUUUUUCUUGCAUGUCACUCGGAAUGCGUUAGCAGUGGACUGUAGCAAAACACUUAAACAUUUACAAUGGUAACGUUAUGGCGGGUAAAAACACUAUUUUUACAGUUUUGUUACAUUUUUCUGUGAAAAGGGUGUCUUAUUCAUCUACAUAGUGAAAUAAUAAAAAAUCACUUUUAAAAUUGUGUCGCUAACUUCAAACUCGGGUAAAUCCAUUCUGCUUUAAGGUUGAUUAUGUAUAAUAGUUAUUUGUUUUACAAGGGGGCAA